rnacentral:rRNA from 1 species
UACGUAGGGUGCGAGCGUUGUCCGGAAUUAUUGGGCGUAAAGGGCUCGUAGGUGGUUUGUCGCGUUGUUCGUGAAAACUCACAGCUCAACUGUGGGCGUGCGGGCGAUACGGGCAGACUUGAGUACUGCAGGGGAGACUGGAAUUCCUGGUGUAGCGGUGGAAUGCGCAGAUAUCAGGAGGAACACCAAUAGCGAAGGCAGCUCGCUGGGACGGUACUGACGCUAAGGCGCGAAAGCGUGGGGAGCGAACAGG